rnacentral:rRNA from 1 species
GGUCAAGCUAUAACGGGCUCACGGUGGAUACCUAGGCACGCAGAGGCGAAGAAGGACGUGGUUACCGACGAUACGCCUCGGGGAGCUGGAAGCAAGCAUUGAUCCGAGGAUUU